GUCAAGGGGGAGGUUUCUGCCUCUGAUAUGCUAACACAAAAUGGAAUCUUUUGUAAGAACAAGGAGUGGCCAUGGCAAAUCAGAGAGCUAGAAAACAAGAAAUUCCUAUUGAGAUUUCCACCUUGGAAGAAUGUGGAUGACCUAAUUGAAUUCCCUUUUGAGCUGCCUAUUGCUGGAGUAUCUGUCAAGAUUUGUGAAUGGGAAGGUAUGCUGGAUGAGUUUGGAGCACUUACUGAAGCCUGGGUGCAGAUUGAAGGAAUCCCACCUAAGUGGUGUACCUGGAAAUUUUUUGCCCAGAUUACUGCAUGUUUUGGUAUCCUUGUGGAUGUGGACUGGAAUGGUAUUUUCAAAAGCUUUUAUGAAACUAUUCGAGUUAAAGUUGCCCGUAGAUACCCAAGGAAGAUUCCUUUUGAGAGAUUGGUGGAGAUGAAAAAGAAACUUUACCUACUGUUUUUUACAGUAGAAGGUUUUGAGAAGAAUGGUGAGGACUCUGAUGGAGGUGAUAAUGAUCUAGGUCUGGACAAUCUUGAAGGAAAUGAUGGAAAUAACAGUAAAUAG
rnacentral:rRNA from 1 species